rnacentral:tRNA from 1 species
CUUUAGUUAGUAUAGUUUGUACGUUUGCCUUCCAAGCAGAAAGGCUACCUUAAUGUAGACUAAAGAU